GAUGAACGCUGGCGGCGUGCUUAACACAUGCAAGUCGAACGAUGAAGCCCAGCUUGCUUGGUGUGUUAGUGGGGAACGGGUGAGUGACACGUGAGUAAACCGCCCUUGACUCUUUGGUAAGCCGGGGCAACUGGGUCUAUUACUGGAUAUGACUUCUCAUCGCCGGGUGGGGGGUGGAAAGAUUUGUUGGUCUUGGAUGGACUGGCGGCGUAUCCGCUUGUUGGUGUGGUAGGGGCUGACCCCGGCGACGACGGGUAGCCGGCCUGAGAAGGUGACCGGCGACACUGGGACUGAGAGACGGCGCAGAGUCGUACGGGGGACAGCAGUGGGGAAUAUUGCACAGUGGGCGCGAGCCGGAGGCAGAGGCGUCGCGGGAGGGAUGACGGCCUUCGGGUUGUAAACCGCUUUCGGUAGGGAAGAAGCUGUAGUGACGGUACCUGCAGAAGAAGCGCCGGCUAACUACGUG
rnacentral:rRNA from 1 species